rnacentral:rRNA from 1 species
ACGUAGGUGGCGAGCGUUGUCCGGAAUUAUUGGGCGUAAAGGGAGCGCAGGCGGGAAGGUAAGUCUAUCUUAAAAGUGCGGGGCUCAACCCCGUGAGGGGAUGGAAACUAUCUUUCUUGAGUGCAGGAGAGGAAAGCGGAAUUCCUAGUGUAGCGGUGAAAUGCGUAGAUAUUAGGAGGAACACCAGUGGCGAAGGCGGCUUUCUGGACUGUAACUGACGCUGAGGCUCGAAAGCGUGGGGAGCGAACAG